UUAGAAGUUCACUUCUGAGGAGGC
rnacentral:piRNA from 1 species